CACACACUCACCACCAUCAGUCAACAGAAACAUGCUCUCAAAUCUGUGGAAAUUUGAGUUCUAAAGAAUGUAAGGCUGUUUUAAAAAAAACUAUCUUGGCUGUUGACAGGAAUGUGAGAUAAAGCUAUGUCUCAAACAGAUGCGUGUGACCAGACUAAAAAUGUUUAUGCUUGAACUCUUCAUCAUCAUGUGAGUCAAUGGGAUUAACUCUCCCUCUGAAACAUGCCUCCAGUGGUUUUUUUCGAGGAACUGCAACUUUUAAUUGUUUCAGAACUUGACGGAGAAACAGUGAAUUAUCUCCUUUUCAUUCCUUUUUUUUUAAUUUGGACAUUGUUUCUAACCGUGGCCCUCAGUUCAUCUCCCAGGUCUGGAAGGCUUUCUGCUCCGCCUUGGGGGCAACGGUCAGUUUCACUUCUGGAUAUCACCCCCAGUCCAACGGUGAAGCAGAGAGGGCCAACCAGGAACUGAAGGCAGCUUUGCAUUGCCUGGUGGCACAGAACGAGGACUGGUCCCAGUACUUAGUGUGGAUUGAGGAUUUGAUUUGGCGGUUACUUCUGUCCAGCAACAUCUCCAGCGUUGCCAACGCGUCUGGCGCCAAACCACAGCUGCUCUCCUCCGCAUCAAGGAGAGCAACUGCUACAUUGCCAAUCGUCACAGGGUGGUGGAACCCACUUACCAGCCUGGUCAGAGGGUAUGGCUCUCUGCUCACUACAUACCUAUUCAAGCCACCUCCCGGAAACUGGCUGCAUGGUUCAUCGGAUCCUACACUAUUGAAAGGAUCAUCAAUCCUACCUGUGUCCGCCUCCGUCUUCCACUAGCACUCAAGGUACACCCCUCCUUUCACAUCUCCCAGAUCAAACCUGAACAGGACAGUCCUCUGUGCCCGCCUCUCAUAGAGGAUUUUUUUCCGGGCCCAUCCUGAUCGCCGUCCUGGACCGCCUGGAGGCGGUUGUUGAGGGGGGGGGGGGUACUGUCAUGGUGCCUCUGUCAGCUCUCCUCCCCCUCCCCUCUCUGCUUGGCCACUAAUUCAUCCCAGCCUCGUCCACUCAACUCAUCACCCUGCCAGACCUACUUAAGGAGCUCCAGGAUCAACAUUCAUCCCCAGUUCGUUGCCCCUGAUGGAACCUUAUUCCCACGAGUGGACGCCUGAAUCCGUGAUUACCCAAGCUGAACUUCAUCCGAAGUUACCUCCCCUCGGAGCUUCAUCAAGCUGUGGGAUGCUUCACGAGCCAUUGCCGGACCUCCAGCCACGCCACGAGCCAUCGCCAAACCUCAAGUCUCGUCGCCUUUCUACCGCAACACAAAACCAACAUCAUCGGAGCAAUAAAACCUCCUACUUACCUUAA